rnacentral:rRNA from 1 species
GACGAACGCUGGCGGCGUGCUUAACACAUGCAAGUCGAACGAAGUGGCGAACGGGUGAGUAACGCGUAAUCAACCUGCCCUUCAGAGGGGGACAACAGUUGGAAACGACUGCUAAUACCGAAUACUGAAGGAGGGGAUUGCGUUUGAUUAGCUAGUUGGAGGGGUAAAGGACUACCAAGGCGACGAUCCUGAACUGUUCUGAGAGGAUGAUCAGUCACACUGGAACUGAGACACGGUCCAGACUCCUACGGGAGGCAGCAGUGGGGAAUAUUGGACAAUGGGCGAAAGCCUGAUCCAGCCAUGCCGCGUGUGUGAAGAAGGUCUUCGGAUUGUAAAGCACUUUAAGUUGGGAGGCGUUACCAACAGAAUAAGCACCGGCUAACUUCGUGCCAGCAGCCGCGGUAAUUC